ACACUCCUACGGGAGGCAGCAGUGGGGAAUUUUGGACAAUGGGCGAAAGCCUGAUCCAGCAAUGCCGCGUGAGUGAAGAAGGCCUUCGGGUUGUAAAGCUCUUUUGUCAGGGAAGAAACGGUGAAAGCUAAUAUCUUUUGCUAAUGACGGUACCUGAAGAAUAAGCACCGGCUAACUACGUGCCAGCAGCCGCGGUAAUACGUAGGGUGCAAGCGUUAAUCGGAAUUACUGGGCGUAAAGCGUGCGCAGGCGGUUUUGUAAGUCUGAUGUGAAAUCCCCGGGCUCAACCUGGGAAUUGCAUUGGAGACUGCAAGGCUAGAAUCUGGCAGAGGGGGGUAGAAUUCCACGUGUAGCAGUGAAAUGCGUAGAUAUGUGGAGGAACACCGAUGGCGAAGGCAGCCCCCUGGGUCAAGAUUGACGCUCAUGCACGAAAGCGUGGGGAGCAAACAGGAUUAGAAACCCUAGUAGUCCCAUGA
rnacentral:rRNA from 1 species